rnacentral:rRNA from 1 species
AUUGAACGCUGGCGGUAUGCUUAACACAUGCAAGUCGAACGGUAACAGGCCUUCGGGCGCUGACGAGUGGCGGACGGGUGAGUAACGCGUAGGAAUCUACCUCAUAGUGGGGGACAACGUGUGGAAACGCACGCUAAUACCGCAUACGCACUACGGGGGAAAGCGGGGGACCUUCGGGCCUCGCGCUCUGAGAUGAGCCUGCGUUAGAUUAGCUAGUUGGUAGGGUAAAGGCCUACCAAGGCGACGAUCUAUAGCUGGUCUGAGAGGACGAUCAGCCACACGGGGACUGAGACACGGCCCAGACUCCUACGGGAGGCAGCAGUGGGGAAUAUUGGACAAUGGGCGCAAGCCUGAUCCAGCAAUACCGCGUGUGUGAAGAAGGCCCUAGGGUUGUAAAGCACUUUCAAUAGGGAGGAAAACCUGUCGGUCAAUACCCGGCAGCUUGACAUUACCUAUACAAGAAGCACCGGCUAACUCCGUGCCAGCCGCCGCCGUAACAC